AUUGAACGCUGGCGGCAUGCCUUACACAUGCAAGUCGAACGGUAACAGGUCUUCGGAUGCUGACGAGUGGCGAACGGGUGAGUAAUACAUCGGAACGUGCCCAGACGUGGGGGAUAACGAGGCGAAAGCUUUGCUAAUACCGCAUACGAUCUAAGGAUGAAAGCAGGGGACCGCAAGGCCUUGCGCGUUUGGAGCGGCCGAUGGCAGAUUAGGUAGUUGGUGGGAUAAAAGCUUACCAAGCCGACGAUCUGUAGCUGGUCUGAAAGGACGACCAGCCACACUGGGACUGAGACACGGCCCAGACUCCUACGGGAGGCAGCAGUGGGGAAUUUUGGACAAUGGGCGAAAGCCUGAUCCAGCAAUGCCGCGUGCAGGAUGAAGGCCUUCGGGUUGUAAACUGCUUUUGUACGGAACGAAAAGGCUCUGGCUAAUACCUGGGGCACAUGACGGUACCGUAAGAAUAAGCACCGGCUAACUACGUG
rnacentral:rRNA from 1 species